AAUAUUAUUGCGGGAGAGAAGUUCUUCAAUGAACUCGCCGAAGGAGCAACGACCCCGGAAACUCUCAGGCAGAAGGACUGUAAUAAUAGA
rfam:Acinetobacter haemolyticus CIP 64.3 genomic scaffold acLrj-supercont1.10, whole genome shotgun sequence.